rnacentral:rRNA from 1 species
GCAAGUCGAACGAUCCUGUAUCUUCGGAUACAGGGAGUGGCAAACGGCUGAGUAACGCGUAGGAACCUACCCCAAACUCGAGUAUAGCCCCGCGAAAGCGGGGGUAAUCCUCGAUAGUCCGUGAAGUAUUUUACUUCACGGUAAAGCUUUUGCGGUUUGGGAUGGGCCUGCGUCCUAUCAGGUAGUUGGUGAGGUAAGUGCUCACCAAGCCUAUGACGGGUAGCUGGUCUGAGAGGAUGGUCAGCCAGACUGGGACUGCGACACGGCCCAGACUCCUACGGGAGGCAGCAACUAGGAAUUGUGCGCAAUGGACGAAAGUCUGACGCCGCGACAUCGCGUGGAGGAUGAAGGUCUUCGGAUUGUAAACUCCUUUUCUUACCGAACAAGUUCUGAGUGUAGGUAAGGAAUAAGUGCCUGCUAACCACGUGCCAGAAGCAUCGGUAAUACGUGGGGCACGAGCGUAUCCGGAUUUACUGGGCGUAAAGAGAAGCGUAGGCGGCUCGAUAAGUUUGGUGUUAAUCUUCCGGCUCAACCGGAAACAAGUACCGAAAACUAUCGAGAUUGAGUCGAGUAGGGAAGAGGGGAAUUCCUGGUAGAGCGGUUAAAUGCGUAGAUAUCAGGAGGAAUACCAAGGGCGAAGGCACCUCUUUGGACUCGUACUGACGCUGAGGCUCGAAAGCGUGGGUAGCAAAACGGAUUAGAUACCCGUGUAGUCCACGCCGUAAACGAUCCCUGUUAGAUGU